rnacentral:lncRNA from 1 species
CACCCAAGCCAGAAACAGCAACCCUUCUGGGUCCCCUUCCACCACGCAGAAGCUUUACUUUCGCUUUCACUUUACUUUUGCUUUCACUUUAACAAAUCUUGCAGCCGCACACUCUUUGGGUCCGCCCGUUUCUCUAAUCAAGUUGUAACACUCGCUGCUGUGGUCCACAGCUUCAUUCCUUGAAGCCCGUGAGACACGAACGCUUCCAUUGAGAAAAACCUUCCAUCAGAAGAAGACUUCUCGUCUCAGUGGGACUGCUGAGUUGAAUGGUGCUUUUUUUUCUGAAGCUUUGGUAGUGUAACUGUAAGAGUCCUGGAAUUGGAAAAGCAAAUCCAGAAGUUGAGUUCCAUGACUUUUUUGCUGUUUGCCUUUGGACUUGCAUCAUUUAUAUUUUUAAUUCAUCGAGGAUGAGAAAAUUGAUUAACACAAAAUCUUUUCAUGUCUUUUCUGAUGAGAGACUAGCUGAAUCCAAGAAGAGAAGCCCUUGAAGAGUGUAUUCUAUUCUAGACAAGCAUUCACACAUUGGCUUCUUUGGUGCCAGCAUGUUUCUGAUCAGCAUGAAAACUGCGCAGGAGCUUUUCUGUCUUGCAGAGCUAGUUAAUGAGAUUGUUGCUGCCUUCAGAUUCUAUAAAGGACUUCUCCAAUAUUGGAUUAAAGAAUGAAGAAAGGAUCAAAUUGAGACAUCCAGGGGGGAAGAGUUCCCUGGCAAAACUCCAAUCUGCCUGAGCACUGAGGUGGAGCCACAGAAGUCCGGGUCAUUUGCACCUGGGAGGAGCCUGGCCCCUCCUCUUCCUGUGUGGAAUCUGGGAUUUAAUCUGUGAGGAGGGAAGGCCAAGGGCAGGAAGCACAGGCUCUCACUUCACUAAGAGUCUCUGUUUCCCCUUUUUUUCCUUUAUGCCUAAUUAAUAAAUCCCAUUUUUCUCACUCUUCAAAUAGUCUUCAAGCCUAAAUUUUCAUGACCAUGGAACAAGGACCCCAUCUUUAGCUGAACUAAGGAAAAGUCCUGCAACAAAAUUCUUUGCUAAAAAUACAUGAGGUUGCCUUUUCCUUCUUAAUCUUAAAAGAAAUAUAUUUCAAUGGUUAACGUUUUAGUAAUUCAAAAAUUAUCAAGCAUUUGUUCACAACCAUAAGAUGUGCAUUGUUUUAUAUUCCUACUUAAUAAUAGACUAUAAUUGUCUAAUUAGACUGCCGAUGUUGAUCUUUGUGGCUCAUUGCAUUGAUUAUAAGCAGUGUUUUGGGUUUGUGUGUGUGUGUCAAAUUUAGGGUUUUUUUGGUAUGGCUGCUGGUUGGUGUAGCCUGUAUCCAGUAUCCUGUAUUAAUUCUAAUAUUUGCAUUUUGAACAUAUUUACAAGUUGCUAAAAUAGCAAAGCUUCGAGAUGAGCCUGGCUGAUAUGGCAAAACCCCGUCUCUACUAAAAAUACAAAAAUUAGCCUGGUGUGGUGGUGCAUGCCUGUAAUCCCAGCUACUUGGAAGUCUGAGGCAGGAGAAUCUCUUGAACCCAGAAGGUGGAGGUUGCAGUGGGCCAAGAUCGCACCACUGCACUCCAGCCUCGGUGAUAGAGCGAGACUACGUCUCAAAAAUAAAAUAAAAUAAAAUAAAAUAAAAAUAGCAAAGCUAUGUAUGGUUUCUCUGAGUUUUGUAAUUUAUCAUUGUUAACUGCAGAAAUUUAUUAUAUGAGACAUAUUAUAUGAGACAUAUAAGUGAAUUUGGAUUGGGUUUAAUUUUAUAUUUUUGAAUAUAGUUCUUCAAGAUAAAUUUUAUCUUAGACCUCAAGAAAUAAAAAUAAAAUAAAUUAGAUAUACAAACGA